rnacentral:lncRNA from 1 species
GUUCAAGAUCAUCCAGAAAGCUCUGCAAAAAGGCUCUCUCCUUGGCUGCUCCAUCGACAUCACCAGCGCCGCGGACUCGGAGGCCAUCACGUUUCAGAAGCUGGUGAAGGGGCACGCGUACUCGGUCACCGGAGCCGAGGAGGUAACGGCCGGCGCGGAUGUGCAGGGGUCCUGCUGUCCUGACACGAUGGCCACAGGCACAGUUUGUGGUGAUGCCCAGGGGCCCGCGCGGCCCCACGGUGGUCCAGUUUACACUCGGGCCCCGCACUCCUGAAGUUCCGCGCGGGAGGAGAAGGGCGUCCCUUUCGCAGCUCGGGCGCCGGGUGCGCCGCGCUGCCACCUGGUGGCCGCAGUGGCCGGCGCCAGGGGCCCUGGUUUUACUUGUUUUAGAUGUUACCCUGUUUUACAGUUACAACCUUACUAUUUUGAUAAGCUAAAAAUAAUAAAACAAUGCAUCUUCAUAGUGUUUUAUACUCUAUAAGGUGCUUUCUCUUUU